rnacentral:rRNA from 1 species
AUAUUGGACAAUGGGGGCAACCCUGAUCCAGCCAUGCCGCGUGUGUGAAGAAGGUCUUCGGAUUGUAUAGCACUGUCCUUGGGGAAGAAGGUCUUCGGACUUGACGGUACCCAUGGAGGAAGCCCCGGCUAACUACGUGCCAGCAGCCGCGGUAAUACGUAGGGGGCAAGCGUUGUCCGGAAUUAUUGGGCGUAAAGGGUGCGUAGGCGGUCUUUUAAGUAAGAUGUGAAAGCCCACGGCUCAACCGUGGGAUUGCAUUUGAAACUGGAGGGCUUGAGUAUCGGAGAGGGUAGUGGAAUUCCCAGUGUAGCGGUGAAAUGCGUAGAUAUUGGGAGGAACACCAGUGGCGAAGGCGACUACCUGGACGAUUACUGACGCUGAUGCACGAAAGCUAGGGGAGCAAAC